CCCUUACACGAAAACCAAAAACGUACUUAAAAUAUAAAAGGUUAAACUAACUAAAAGAGAAACUCGAAAAUAAAGCUAUGAGUAUGACUACAGAGUCUCUAGGCAUCCCUUUCGUCGUCCUCCUGCGGAACGGGCUCGGGAACCAUAUCUUCCUGAUCUGAAAUGGUUAAAUAAGGAGUGAGCUACACUAGCCCAGUAAGAACAUCACGAUAUCUCACCGUCACGGAGGUAAAGGUGGGUAGAAAACACAAAGGACCCAUGGAGCAUGUU
rnacentral:lncRNA from 1 species